AUCACUUACACAGAGUGUAGAAGUGGAAAUGUUGGUGUGUGUUCUGAUAACACUGCAGUGUUACCACCUGUGACUGCCUCCAGCUAUAGCCUGGCUUUUUAGCACAGGUUUUACCCUGCGAGCAUUAACCUCCAUCAGGAAGCACAGGUGUAUGUACUUUAUCACUCUACAGACUAGAAAAGACCCUAUUUCCGGGCAUUCAGGUUUCCCCUGCUUCCACGCAGUUCAAGGGCUGUUCCUCUGUACCAGGUCUGCUGCAAGAAGCAUCUCACGCUAUUCUUCAGUUGGAGCGCAGAGUCUGUAG
rnacentral:lncRNA from 1 species